UGGGGAAUAUUGGACAAUGGGCGAAAGCCUGAUCCAGCCAUGCCGCGUGUGUGAAGAAGGUCUUCGGAUUGUAAAGCACUUUAAGUUGGGAGGAAGGGCAGUUACCUAAUACGUGAUUGUUUUGACGUUACCGACAGAAUAAGCACCGGCUAACUCUGUGCCAGCAGCCGCGGUAAUACAGAGGGUGCAAGCGUUAAUCGGAAUUACUGGGCGUAAAGCGCGCGUAGGUGGUUAGUUAAGUUGGAUGUGAAAUCCCCGGGCUCAACCUGGGAACUGCAUUCAAAACUGACAAGCUAGAGUAUGGUAGAGGGUGGUGGAAUUUCCUGUGUAGCGGUGAAAUGCGUAGAUAUAGGAAGGAACACCAGUGGCGAAGGCGACCACCUGGACUGAUACUGACACUGAGGUGCGAAAGCGUGGGGAGCAAACAGGAUUAGAUACCCAAGUAGUCCCUGAGCGGGCUGGCAAGGCGC
rnacentral:rRNA from 1 species